CCCUUAGAUGUUCCGGGCCGCACGCGCGCUACACUGAUUCAUGCAACAAGUUUUGUCCUUGGCUGAUAGGCCUGGGUAAUCUUUGAACGUGAAUCGUGAUGGGGAUAGAUGAUUGCAAUUAUUCAUCUUCAACGAGGAAUUCCUAGUAAACGCAAGUCAUCAGCUUGCAUUGAUUACGUCCCUGCCCUUUGUACACACCGCCCGUCGCACCUACCGAUUGAAUGGUCCGGUGAAAUCUUCGGAUCUGAGAGAUGUCUGAUUAAUUUCGGACGCCUUUUGGAAAAGUUGCUUAAACCUUACCAUUUAGAGGAAGGUGAAGUCGUAACA
rnacentral:rRNA from 1 species